CCUACGGGCGGCAGCAGUGGGGAAUAUUGGACAAUGGGGGGAACCCUGAUCCAGCCAUGCCGCGUGUGUGAAGAAGGCCCUCGGGUUGUAAAGCACUUUCAGUGAGGAAGAACGCCUGGUGGUUAAUACCCAUCAGGAAAGACAUCACUCACAGAAGAAGCACCGGCUAACUCCGUGCCAGCAGCCGCGGUAAUACGGAGGGUGCGAGCGUUAAUCGGAAUUACUGGGCGUAAAGCGCGCGUAGGUGGCUUGAUAAGCCGGUUGUGAAAGCCCCGGGCUCAACCUGGGAACGGCAUCCGGAACUGGCAAGCUAGAGUGCAGGAGAGGAAGGUAGAAUUCCCGGUGUAGCGGUGAAAUGCGUAGAGAUCGGGAGGAAUACCAGUGGCGAAGGCGGCCUUCUGGACUGACACUGACACUGAGGUGCGAAAGCGUGGGUAGCAAACAGGAUUAGAUACCCUAGUAGUC
rnacentral:rRNA from 1 species